rnacentral:rRNA from 1 species
CCUACGGGAGGCAGCAGUAAGGAAUAUUCCACAAUGGGCGAAAGCCUGAUGGAGCGACGCCGCGUGAGGGAUGAAGCUUUUCGGAGUGUAAACCUCUUUUCUUUGGGAUGACACCCCGGGUAACCGGGUACGACAGUACCAGAGGAAUAAGCAUCGGCUAACUACGUGCCAGCAGCCGCGGUAAUACGUAGGAUGCAAGCGUUGUCCGGAUUUACUGGGCGUAAAGCGCGCGCAGGUGGCAUGGCAAGUAAGGUGUGAAAUCUCCCUGCUCAACGGGGAGGGAGCGCUUUAGACUGCCAAGCUAGAGGACGGUAGAGGGGGGUGGAAUUGCUGGUGUAGCGGUGAAAUGCGUAGAGAUCAGCAGGAACACCCGUGGCGAAGGCGGCCCCCUGGGCCGUACCUGACGCUGAGGCGCGAAGGCUAGGGGAGCGAACGGGAUUAGAUACACCGGUAGUCCUAGCAGUAAACGAUGGCCACUAGGUGUGGGGGGUGUUGACCCCUUCCGUGCCGAAGCUAACGCAUUAAGUGGCCCGCCUGGGGAGUACGGUCGCAAGACUAAAACUCAAAGGAAUUGACGGGGACCCGCACAAGCAGCGGAGCGUGUGGUUUAAUUCGAUGUAACGCGAAGAACCUUACCAGGGCUUGACAUGCAAUCGCAACUCUGUGAAAGCAGAGCCUCCUUCGGGACGGUUGCACAGAUGCUGCAUGGCUGUCGUCAGCUCGUGUCGUGAGAUGUUGGGUUAAGUCCCGCAACGAGCGCAACCCCUGUCCUUAGUUGCAAAUCUAAAGAGACUGCCGGAAACAAACCGGAGGAAGCGGGGAUGAUGUCAAGUCAGCAUGGCUCUUACGUCCUGGGCUACACACACGCUACAUGGUCGCUACAGCGAGAAGCCAACCCGCGGGGGGUGAGCGGACCUCUGAAAGGCGGCCUCAGUUCAGAUUGCAGCUGCACCCGCCUGCAUGAAGUCGGAGUUGCUAGUAACCGCGUGUCAGCACAGCGCCGGGUGAAUACGUUCCGGG